UUCACUUAAGUCAUUAGUAUUGAUCGCGUAACUUUUCCAUUUUAACUCGUUUUCUCUUGAAACUUGACGAGUGCUUAUGUAAUUAAAUUACACACAAAAACAUCGUCAACAGAGAGUUUAGCUACACUGCCAAAAUCCCAGUCCUUACAUUAUUCCCCCCUUAAAAGAAGUUUCGUCCCCGAAACUUGACCACGUACCCAUCGAAAACGAAUUCAGAUAUUACUCCACCAUUGUGGUAUCACCUUU
rnacentral:lncRNA from 1 species